CCUAGGGGUGGCAGCAGUAGGGAAUCUUCCACAAUGGGCGAAAGCCUGAUGGAGCAACGCCGCGUGGAUGAAGAAGGUCUUCGGAUCGUAAAACCCUGUUGUUAGAGAAGAAAGUGCGGGAGAGUAACUGUUCACGUUUCGACUGUAUCUAACCAGAAAGCCACGGCUAACUACGUGCCAGCAGCCGCGGUAAUACGGAGGUGGCGAGCGUUGUCCGGAUUUAUUGGGCGUAAAGGUACCGCAGGCGGUCUUUUAAGUCUGAUGUGAAAGCCUUCGGCUUAACCGGAGUAUUGCAUUGGAAACUGGGAGACUUGAGUGCAGAAGAGGAGGGUGGAACU
rnacentral:rRNA from 1 species